GAUCCUCGCUUCGUUCGGGCUCACCGGGAGCCUGUUCGCAGGCCAGUCAAGCUUGCGCAGUUUAAGUAGCAAGGACUCGAGGUACGAGGAAAUACCUUCAGAAGGAUGGUGUUGCUUUUAUGAAGUUAUAUUUGGUAGUUUUGUUGUUGUUGUUGUUGUUGUUGUUAUUAUUGUUCUGUUUAAUCUCUGUUACUGUCGUCGUACUUUCAAACAGAAUCUUUACACCGUUUGUGAUCUGGCUCUGGGACUCCUCACAAACAAGGUACUGAUUAUUACACUUUGUACUGGCAAGUCAGUGUCCUUAUACCAUUUAAUUGACUGUCACGCAGUACUCUGUUCAAUGUUGUGGUCCGUUGCGUGACAAGCUAUGACAAAAAUUUGGUUCAUUCCUGUUGCUGUGGUAAUUCAUUGUGACAUUUUCACUUAUCUUUAACAUUUCAACUCCUGUAGGUCCAUAACUUCGUGUUAAAAGAAUUUCCAGGCAACCCUGUUUUACCUAAAAGGUUCUUUGUUCCUUCAGAGGUAGGUAGUCCUAACACCAAGAGUUAUCUGCCAAAGGGAUUUCAGUUUACCUCUUCAAAGGGACCAAGGAAAGGAGGAGCGGCAGAAUCGAAGUCAACACCUUCGAAGACUUCGUCAAGAACGUCUGCAAAGAGUGAUAAGAAAACUCAAGGAAAGACACAAAACAGGUAAGGGGAACUAGGAAACUGGUGUUAUUGUGGCAUUCAACUGGUACGAGCUGUUUCAUUCUUUCAGGACACCGGUAAACAAUGUUUGUUGAAAUAUCUCUCUUGCCAAGAGUAGACUUACAGUAUAAGAGGAAGUUGGUUUCUUCCUUGUGUACAAACUGAUAUUUGUUUUUGAUUAGAUUAAAAAUCUGCUGUAAUAUGGGCUAAUCAUUACACCAAAAUAGCCAAAAAUGCUGCUUCACUAGCCCACAUGCAAGACAAGUUGCUCUCUCAGAGUACUUGAUGACCUCUCCACCCAGGAUUAUAUAUGAUUGCCUUUGAAUUGUUUGAGCAAUCUGGCAAAUAGCCUCCUACCGUAUGCAGACGGUGUUUGGGAUCGUCACGUAAUCGUCCUCCCCAAUCUUCGUGUGGAGGGAACGCGUGACGAGCCCUAAGAGCGUCUGCUUGGGAGGCUACGUAGGGGGGUUACCUGGCAAAAUACUUGGAGUAAGAUGCAGUGGGCUGACAUCCCAUCCUGCAAGGGGGAGGGGUGUGUUAACAUUGCUGAUGUUUUAUGUUCCAAAAACUGGAAAUAAGCUGGGGCGAUAACCUAUUAAUUGUUAAGCCAUAGAGCUUUUAACAUCUUUAGUUACUACUACGAGUCUACAUACGGAAAUGUAAGUUGCUUGUGUUUAAGUUACGUGUGCGUAGCAAGGUCUUGCUAUGUUUCUUAGAAAAACUAGAUUUGUUGCUAUCGUUGUUCUUUUUUGGAAGCUCAAAAACUGCUAAGAAUGCUUUCAAGGACAAAGUAAAAGAAAUCCAAGCAGAAAUGGACGAAUCGUCCUCCGAGACUGCAGAAAGUGGGUUUGCUAGUCCGGCUGAUGAGCAGCCAUCUCCAAGAAAAAGAGGGAGACCCCCU